rnacentral:rRNA from 1 species
CCAGACUCCUACGGGAGGCAGCAGUGGGGAAUAUUGCACAAUGGGGGAAACCCUGAUGCAGCAACGCCGCGUGGGUGAAGAAGUAUUUCGGUAUGUAAAGCCCUAUCAGCAGGGAAGAAGAUGACGGUACCUGACUAAGAAGCCCCGGCUAAAUACGUGCCAGCAGCCGCGGUAAUACGUAUGGGGCAAGCGUUAUCCGGAUUUACUGGGUGUAAAGGGAGCGCAGGCGGCGCGGCAAGUCAGAUGUGAAAGCCCGGGGCUCAACCCCGGGACUGCAUUUGAAACUGCCGUGCUGGAGUGUCGGAGAGGCAAGUGGAAUUCCUAGUGUAGCGGUGAAAUGCGUAGAUAUUAGGAGGAACACCAGUGGCGAAGGCGGCUUGCUGGACGAUAACUGACGCUGAGGCUCGAAAGCGUGGGGAGCAAACAGGAUUAGAUACCCCCGUACA